AUCGCAGAUAACCCUGUAAAAAGAGGAAUGGAGAUUGCCUCUAUCCACCUAGAUUCAUAAGCUGCCCUGAGGUGAUCUUGGCAUCAAGGAAGGGAUGCACAUCGCACCAUCAGCUUCAGAGAAUGGCAGUCAUUGAUUUGUCCCGUGGGUUUUUUUCCAGGGAACCAAUCUGCCCUUUUGAAGAAAAGACAAAGGUAGAAGGGAUGGUGGAGGACUACCUGGCAAAUGGCUAUCAAGAUUCAGUGACCUUUGAUGAUGUGGCUGCGGACUUCACCCCGGAGGAGUGGGCUUUACUGGACACAAUUGAGAAAUACCUUUACAGAGAUGUGAUGCUGGAGAACUACAUGAACCUGGCCUCCGUGGAGUGGGAAAUACAACCUAGAAUCAAACCGUCAUCACUUCAGCAGGGUUUUUUUGAAGAAUCCAAUAUUCAGUGGGAUACAAAUGACAAGAGGCUCCAGUGGAUGGAAAGUCUGUGACUGUAAGAAUUGUGGAGAGGUCUUCAGUGAACAGUUUUGCCUUAAGACACACAUGAGAGCUCAGAAUGGAGGGGACACUUCUGAGGGUAAUUGUUAUGGAAAAGACGUCCUUAGUGUGCACAAGGAAGCCUCUAUUGGACAGGAACUUUCCAAAUUUAAUCCAUGUGGAAAAGUCUUCACUCUAACUUCAGGCCUUGCUGUACAUCUUGAAGUUCUCAAUGCAAGACAACCCUACAAAUGUAAGGAAUGUGGAAAAGGCUUUAAGUAUUUUGCAAGCCUUGAUAAUGACAUAUGAAUCCACACUGAUGAGAAACUCUGUGAAUUUCAGGAAUGUGAGAGAGCCAUCACACCUUCCUCACACCUAAAGCAAUGUGUAGCAGUUCAUACAGGAAAGAAAUCCAAAAAGACUAAGAAAUAUGGGAAAUCUGUCACUGGUUUUUCUCAACUUUAUGCACAUGUGAAAACUCAUAAAGGAGAGAAGUCUUUUGAAUGCAAAGAAUGUGGAAGAUCCUUUAGAAAUUCCUCAUGCCUUAAUGAUCACAUUCAGAUUCACACUGGAAUAAAACCACACAAGUGUACAUACUGUGGGAAAGCCUUCACUAGAUCAACUCAACUUACUGAACAUGUAAGAACUCACACUGGAAUAAAACCCUAUGAAUGUAAGGAAUGUGGCCAAGCCUUCGCUCAGUCCUCGGGCCUUUCUAUACACGUACGAAGUCACAGUGGAAAGAAACCCUAUCAGUGUGAGGAAUGUGGGAAAGCCUUCACUACAUCCACAAGCCUUAUUCAACAUACAAGAAUUCACACAGGAGAGAAGCCUUAUGAAUGUGUUGAAUGUGGGAAGACCUUCAUUACUUCUUCCCGUCGUAGUAAACAUUUGAAAACUCACAGUGGAGAAAAGCCCUUUGUAUGCAAGAUAUGUGAGAAAGUAUUUCUGUAUUCCUCACGCCUUAAUGUUCACCUGCGAACUCAUACUGGGGAGAAACCCAUCAUAUGUAAAGAAUGUGGGAAAGCAUUUGCUGUUUCCUCACGCCUAAGCAGACAUGAAAAAAUUCACACUAGGGAGAAACCCUAUGAAUGUAAGGGUAUGAGUGUUAACAUUUAGCCCAUCAGUUGCCAUCUUUAAUUAUUGGCAAUGACACCAAAGAUUGUCAGAUUUGUCCUAAAUGCCUUGUGGAGGUUGUAAUGGCUCAUGGAUUGGCCUUAGAUGCCAUCCUGAAGGUCUGAAAUUAAACCUACAGUUUCUGAAUAAAA